rnacentral:rRNA from 1 species
GCCUUGCCACGCCCGCUCAGAAACUUAAAGGAAUUGACGGGGCCCGCACAAGCGGUGGAGUAUGUGGUUUAAUUCGAUGCAACGCGAAGAACCUUACCUGGUCUUGACAUCCCGGAGACCCUUAGGAAACUAGGGGGUGCUUCCAUCUGGAAGAAUCUGGAGACAGGUGCUGCAUGGCUGUCGUCAGCUCGUGUCGUGAGAUGUUGGGUUAAGUCCCGCAACGAGCGCAACCCUUGCCUUUAGUUGCCAGCAGUUCGGCUGGGCACUCUAAAGGGACUGCCGGUGUUAAACCGGAGGAAGGUGGGGAUGACGUCAAGUCCUCAUGGCCUUUAUGACCAGGGCUACACACGUACUACAAUGGCCGAUACAAAGGGCAGCGACACUGCGAGGUGAAGCCAAUCCCGUAAAAUCGGUCUCAGUCCGGAUUGGAGUCUGCAACUCGACUCCAUGAAGUUGGAAUCGCUAGUAAUCGUGGAUCAGCAUGCCACGGUGAAUACGUUCCCGGGCCUU